UUCACUCAUCCACCCACCCAUCCCUCCAUCCAUCCAUCCAUCUUCAUCCUCCAUCGACUCACUCAGCUAUCCACUGCCAUUCACUUAGGUAGGCCCUAGCUAGAGGCUGGGGUUACUGAGGCAGCUCAGACCUGCCCCUGCCUUCCCAGAGCCCAGUAUCUUGUUGGAGGCAGACAAGGAAGAGUUGCUAAUGUGCAAUGUAUACGUGGUGACAAGGACGUGAUGAUCACUGCUAAGUGGGGUCUUGGGCUGGCUACAGACAAAUUUCCUGUCCCCCAGUAGAACUUAGAGCAGUUCUUUGCACCAAGGGGCUCUUACCCACAGAUGAUGCAGCUUCUUCAGAUAUGCAAAAACACAAGGGAGCUUGUAAGACUGUCCAUCCCUCUAGGAGGGUCCCUGGGCCUUGGGACCAAGGUCACCUCCCACCGUCUGUUAGGAUGAGAUGCACACUCAUCUGUUAGGUAGGGACAGGUGCAUACUGGUAGAGACAGGUGCACACUGUCUGGCAGCCUGGGAGUCCCCUGUCUAACCACAGGAGAGGCUGCCAGCAGCUCCCUGAUCAGCUUGGUGGGAGGACAUCCUGUGACACCAAGAUACCCUACAGAGAGAGCUGGAGGGACAGAGAACACCCAGGCUGGCGAGCUCCUUUAUCUCUGGGUGAGGUGGUCAUAUGGGCUGGAGAGGACGGGCAGGAGCUCCUUCUGGGGAGGCUAAGGCCACAGAUGCCUUGGUGGUAGCCACUCCCAGUUACCACCAGAGGGCGCCAAAGUGCCGCCCACGCAGCUCAGCCGGCUCAGCUCGCGGAAGGAGCUCUGUGUAGAGUCAUUGGGGCGACCCCUAGGGCCAAGCAAGCCCAUGCCAUCGUUCCAGAGACCCUGGGCCCACCCCGCUGGUGCCAAAUCCAGGCCUUACCACCCUCUGCCCUGUCUUCUCUGGGGAGUGGAGCAAAUGAUGCUGCCUGCCCACGGGUGCCUCUCUCAGUGCUUACAGGGCCCGAGCCCACUUGCUGGGCUGGGUGGGUGGUGGUGUCCGCCCGAUAGAGCUGGAGAAAGGGGUGAGCGUCACUCUCUCUAGGAGGAUGACGCAAUGUGCUCCACAACCUACACCUCCAUUCACUCAUUCAGCCAGGGCAGCGGAGCACCCCGUCGCUGCCAGGCACUGCCGCGGGCACUUACGUGAGGGACAAAACAAAGGCCCCACCUCGUGGAACUCACAGCCCAGGCCAGGAAGCAGUCGGCUUUGUCUGCCAAAGGUCAAAUAUAAUGGCAAAAACCGCAACUACUUUUGCACCAACCUACUUAAAUCCGCUAGGCUGUUGGGCCGUGCUCCCCUUGACUCUGCCUUCAUGGUGGAAAGCAGCUCCGGGUGGGGCUAAGCAGUCUCGUGCGGGGUGUCCCCAUCACAUCGUACUUGUGGACGCUGACGGCGAACCUCGUGUGAUUUUCAUGGGUCGUGAAUAUCAUCCUCCUUUUGAUUUUCAGCUAUUAAACAACAGAAAACCAUUUUUGGCUCUUGAGCUCUAUAAACACAACUAGCGGGUGGGAUCCACCCCGCGGCUGGAGUUUGCAGACCUGGGUCCAGGAAGGAAGGAAGGAGACGGUACACAGUGAACAUCAUCGCGUGAGCCUGCCCUGCUGCCAGUGGGGACACAGCGGACCAAGCAGGGGUGAGGCAGGGGGCAGGCCUGGCACUAAAUGGGGCAGUCGGAGCGGGCCUUGCUGUGAAUGCCAGAUGGAGCAAAGACCUUUCAUUUUAACGGUGCUGACCUCGCUAUCAAAUACCCAAGUUGGAUGUUGCUGCCACAGAUCCUGUGGGCUGAGGCGUGCCCUGGACUCUCACGGGACAGGCGCUGGCAAACCAGGGGAGGGUCUCACAUGAAAGGACCACAGCAGACUCGUCCCUUUGUCAGAGGAAAGAAAUAGAAUACUGUUUGGAUUACAGAUACUAGUAAAAUAUGAUCUUGAAAAAACAUUUGAUAAAUUACAGCAGGAAUUUAUAAUUUAAAAAAAAUCGCCAGGCGUGGUGGCUCACGCCUGUAAUCCCAGCACUUUGGAAGGCUGAGGCAGGUAGAUCACCUGAGGUCAGGAGUUCAAGACCAGCCUGUCCAACAUGAUGAAACCCCGCCUCUAUUUAAAAAAAAAAAUUAGCUGGGCAUGAUUGCGCAUGCCUGUAAUUCCCAGCUACUCAGGAGGCUGAGGCAGGAGAAUCGCUUGAACCUGGGAGGCGGAGGUUGCAGUGAGCCGAGAUCGCACUAUUGCACUCCAGCCUGGGAGACUAGAGCAAAACUCUGUCUAAAAAAAAAGAAAAAUCACAAUUUCUUAGCAACUAGAAAUAAAAGGAAAUUUCUUUCACCUGAUAAAGGGCACAUAUCAGACAUAUGGAAGAAACUUUAUACUUCAUGUUGAAACAUCAGCAGCAGGAACAAGACAAGGAUGCUGACUCAGUGCUACAAUUCAGCACCGUCAUAGAGUCCUAGCCAAUGCAGUAACACAAGAAAAUAAAUAAGAAGGAUAAAAAUUAGCAGGGAGGAGACAAGGGCAGGAACCAUCUCUGUCCUCUUGUUUCCAAUUAAGCAGAUACCUAAUAAAUUUUAUUAAAUUGGAGGAAAA